GAUGAACGCUAGCGGCAGGCCUAAUACAUGCAAGUCGAACGGUGUCUUCGGACAUAGUGGCGCACGGGUGCGUAACACGUAUGCAACCUACCUUACAUUGGGGGAUAGCCUUUCGAAAGGGAGAUUAAUACCGCAUAAGACAGUAGCUGGGCAUCCAGCAGCUGUUAAAGAUUUAUCGAUGUAAGCUGGGCAUGCGUCCAAUUAGCUAGUUGGUGAGGUAACGGCUCACCAAUGCAAUGAUUGGUAGGGGAACUGAGAGGUCAAUCCCCCACACUGGCACUGGGAUACGGGCCAGACUCCUACGGGAGGCAGCAGUAGGGAAUAUUGGGCAAUGGACGCAAAUCUGACCCAGCCAUGCCGCGUGCAGGAUGAAGGCGUUAUGCGUUGUAAACUGCUUUUAUACAGGAAGAAACGACUCUUGCGAGAGGCAUUGACGGUACUGUAUGAAUAAGCACCGGCUAACUCCGUGCCAGCAGCCGCCGUAAUAC
rnacentral:rRNA from 1 species